rnacentral:rRNA from 1 species
CAACUUUCAACAACGGAUCUCUUGGCUCUCGCAUCGAUGAAGAACGCAGCGAAAUGCGAUAAGUAAUGUGAAUUGCAGAAUUCAGUGAAUCAUCGAAUCUUUGAACGCAUCUUGCGCUCCUUGGUAUUCUGAGGAGCAUGCCUGUUUGAGUGUCAUUA